AAGCCCAGAGGGCGAAAGAACAGACUAGACCCAACAUACAAGGUUUCAAGCUUUCAUAGUCAAAAGCCCAUACUAUUCAAGCUAACUAAGAAGACACAAGAAAAGCUACAGAAAGAACAACAACAACGAUAAAAGAGAACGAAGGCCAGCAGUAGUCUACGGUCUCCCCCCAGCCAUUGACGCCGGCGGAGGACAAGGUAAUCCAUCGCGUGAGAGAACAUGGACCAGGGAAGACGGCGGCCUGUCAAUCCAGACAUCCGGGCACGUCUUCCUCACACUAAGCGACGCAAUAUGGUGGGCUGCGCAGUUUGCUUUUCUGGAAAUCCACGACCAUGAGAAUAGCCUGCAUGGGGGAGGAGCUGCUCGAAUUCGACCAGAAUCGAUACCGUUGAUGUCUUUUACUAGCUCUUGGCAGUCCGAUUCGAUCUGUAUAGGGAGAUGAGUGUACUUCUGGGCAAGAGAGAGGGCAAGGAUGGCAGCUUUUCCUUCAGCUUCAAUUGCCGAAUUUGACCGGCAAUGAUGAGAUGCACCAUCAACAAGAACUCCAUUAUCAUUUCGCACAACAACACCGAGCUGCAUCGAAGUUGAUUUUGAUGCCACCCAAUGGUGGCUUUGUCCAAGUGGUUUUUGGAUCAUUGGGGUUGUGGUUUAUGUUAUGGGGAUGAAUUUGUGAAUUGUGGGUUAUUUGUGGUGGGUUUUGAUUGUGGAGAUGCAAGUGGGUUUGAUGUGGAUUGGCAAGAUCAGAAUUGGGAUUAGCAGCAGUGAGGUUAUUGGUUUGGGUUGUUUGGGAGAGGUGGGAUGAAGCUUGGUUUGGGUCUUUUAUGAAGCUCUACCUGCCAAUAAGAGUGUGUUAAGUCGUGCUGGUGUUACAUGUGUUCAUACACUUGCAGCUAUUUUAUGACUUUUAUUUUGACAUGUCUUAUGCUUAUAUCUCAUAUCUCACUUAUUCAUGAUUCACAACAGCUUGUGCGGAUGGAGUGGUCAGGGUAUUCAAGUUGGAUGAUGCUUCGAGUAAAAGUUUCAAGUAUGAAUGUCAAGUACCUUGAUGCAUGACCAGUUAUGCUCAUGCUUUUUGGUGCUUUUCAUUAAUCAAAUUAUCAAGCAUUCUCGACAGAUUUCUGAAAAUAAAUACGCUUCUUUGUACAUGUACGGUGGAGUGGAAAAACCCAAAAUUUCUAAUGAAUACAGUCAGCCAUCCAAGGUUCGUCUCCUAGAAAUGAAGUGGGAACAGCACAAAAUUCAUGAUAAAUUAGGUAUUCUCACCUUAUUUUGGGACCACUGCAAGUUAUGGCACUGCUGAUGGGAGUGCAAUUAGUGCUUCUUGUUCUGAAGGUACUGAAAUCAUAAUUUGGCAUGGUAAAACUGGCAAGAACUUGGGGCAUGUUGACACAAAUCAGUUGAAAAACAACAUGGCUGCUAUAUCACCAAAUGGACGUUUCAUUGCUGCAGCAGCUUUAACUGCAGUUGUGAAGAUAUGGUAGAUCAAGUUGGUGACUUUGGUUUAGCAAGCUUCCUCUUGGAAGCAUCGGAUGAUCCCUCCGAGAUUCAAACUUUCAAAGCAUAUCAGUUGGACUAAAGGGUUCCAUAGGCUACAUUCCUCCAGAGUAUAGCAUGGGAGCCAAAGUUUUCAUACUAGGAGAUAUUUAUAGCUAUGGGAUACUGUUGCUAGAAAUGUUCACAGGGAGAAGACCUACCGAUGACGUGUUCAAAGAUGGUCCAAGCAUUCACCAUUGUACAGCUAUGGCUUUGCCUGACCAUGUUAUGGACGUCGUUGACCCUUCGUUGCUCAGAGAAAGAGAUGAAGAGAAUGAUGAUGGUGGCAGAGGCAGAAACGAUGUCCAAGAAAGAUCAAUAAGACGUCAGAAAUCUGACCUAGUCAAACGAAGAGGAGAGGAGUGCUUGGUUUCAGUUAGGACGGAUAUUUAUGGAUGUCAAUGUCACCAAGAGAACGGAUAUUUAUGGAUGUCAAUGUCAACAAAAUGAAGGCUAUUAGAGUCCUAUCUCAAAGGAGGAAGAAGGAGGGAGCUAAAAUAUAUAUGGCCACCUUCGUUACUGAAUCUCAUUAUAUGUAUGUAUGUAUGUAUGGACACACACACACACCAUGUAUUUAUAUGCAGCAGGAAAUUAUCUAAAUACGGAUACUGGCUGUAUCAAAGUAUGUGAUAUCAUGUAAUAUUAAUUGAAUGCAGCAUUUUAUGUGCCAAAAUAAGAGAACAAUGUGUCUUCUUCA